rnacentral:snRNA from 1 species
AUACUUACCUGACGCGAGAGGCACCUUGAUCAACUAGGAGGUCCUCUCAGGAUGAGGCCCUUUCAUUGCACUUCGACUGGGUUGACUCCUGCGAUUACCCCUAAUGUGGGUAACUCGAGCGUAUAAUUUCUGGUAGUGGGGACCUGCGUUCGCACUCGUCCCCU